AUGGCAGAGGUCAUCUUCUCGGCGGUUGUCGGAGACAUGGUCGGCAGGGCGAUAUCUCUUAUUGCUGGCCAGUUCAAAGGCCAAGGGCGCACCGAGGCCAAGCUACGAAGGAUCUGCCACAUGCUCGUCAAGGUCCAUAGUGCAGUAGAGGAGGCCAAAGGAAGGCAUAUAACAAACUAUGGCACCCUCGAGUGGCUUUCGGAGCUCAACAACGGCAUGUACCAUGGCCGCUACUUGCUCGACACAGUCGGAUGCAGAGAGCAGGAGCUUGAAGAUGAGCAAGCUGACAAGGUAGUUGAACAACGUUUCUCUUUCUCCUUGUUUAAUCCUGCAAAGCGUGUGCGCAUAGCAGCGUGUGCCAUGAAGAGCCUAUUGUCUCGCCAUGAUAUUGGUGUUGGUGAGGAGAUAGAUAGAGUGGUAGAGAUCUUGGAAACCGUAUCCAGUGAUCUCAAAGAGUUCAUGAUGCUCAUACAAAAUUGCCAGCCCAUGCAUCGUCCUUUGCCUACCAAUAUCUUCAUCGAGGGGCAGAUGUUCGGCCGAUAUGUUGAGAAAGAGAGGAUAAUCACCUUCUUGGUGCACGAUGGUGGUCCGUUAACUGGGGAGAAAUUGGGUGUGCUUCCCAGUGUCGGCGACAUGGGAGUCGGGAAGACCACCCUUGUGCAGCAUGUCUGCGAUGAUGAGAGGGUGCGCCAACACUUUCCAAUAAUUUUGUAUUCCAAUUUCUCAUACACCAGGGCAAUGGCAUGGGGUGAGGCACCGUUUGUUCUAGGAUCCAAACACGCAGUUAGAGAUGCUAAAAAAUUCAUCGAGUCACUGCAUGUACUCGAGGAGAAAUACCUCACCAAGAGGUUUUUAUUGGUAUUUGAAGAUGUUGACACGGGCAAACAACAGACGCUAGAAGAGUUACUGCCGAUCUUAAGACAUGGCAAACGUGGAAGCAGGAUCAUAGUCACCACAAACAGCAAGACUGUCGCGGCGAGCAUGGGAACAGUGCAGCCGGUCAAUUUGAAGGUUAUGCCGCAUCAGGAGUACUGGUUCUUCUUCAAGGCACAUGCGUUUGCUGGCAGAGAUGUCGAGGAGGACCCGAGGAUGCCAGCAGCGGGCAAGGCAAUUGCAAGGAAGUUAAAUGGGUCCUUCUUCGGAGCGAAAAUUGUCGGUGGGGUGCUGAAAGCUCAUCCAAAUCCCUGGUUCUGGAACAAGGUGUUGAGGAGCAAUAUUGGGGGUUGUCUCUGUUGGGCGAUGGAAUUGGGUAUAUUGCAGAUUUUGCAGAGAAUUUGGUACCAAUCUACGUAG
rnacentral:rRNA from 1 species